rnacentral:rRNA from 1 species
UGAAUGUAGAGUUUGAUCCUGGCUCAGGAUGAACGCUGACAGAAUGCUUAACACAUGCAAGUCGACUGGAAUUCUUCUUCGGAAGUUAGUACGGUGGCGGACGGGUGAGUAACGCGUAAAGAAUUUGCCCUUCAGACUGGGACAACUAACCGAAAGGUUAGCUAAUACCGGAUAUUAUGAGACUUUGGCAUCAAGGACUUAUGAAAGCUAUAUGCGCUGGAGGAGAACUUUGCGUUCCAUUAGCUAGUUGGUAGGGUAAUGGCCUACCAAGGCGACGAUGGAUAGCCGGCCUGAGAGGGUGAACGGCCACAAGGGGACUGAGACACGGCCCUU